UACGUAGGGGGCAAGCGUUGUCCGGAUUUACUGGGCGUAAAGAGCGUGUAGGCGGCCAAACAGGUCCGUUGUGAAAACUGGAGGCUUAACCUCCAGACGUCGACGGAAACCGUAUGGCUAGAGUCCGGAAGAGGAGAGUGGAAUUCCUGGUGUAGCGGUGAAAUGCGUAGAUAUCUGCAGGAACACCCGUGGCGAAAGCGGCGCGCUGGACCACUACUGACGCUGAGGAACGAAAGCUAGGGGAGCAAACAGG
rnacentral:rRNA from 1 species